rnacentral:tRNA from 1 species
GGAUAAAGCCCAGUUGGUAGAGUGCUUGCCUUGCAUGCACAAGGCCCUGGGUUCAAUUCCCAGAACCA